GUGCAUCACAGUGGUUCACACGAUUGCAUUUUGAGCAGAAUACUGUCUUCCCUUGCUGACUGGUGUAAGGUGGGGGAGGAUCUCUUCCCAACGUGGGCUAAUAAAACAAGAGCUCAUUGUUCAAGUCACAUGCCCAACUUUAUGCAGUUACACAUUAAUGCCUGCAUUCAGUGAAGCAGUUAAACACAUGAUCUUCUUAGGUAAGUAAGUACAGAUUCCUACUGAAGUUCACUUUGAAGUGACACCUCGCUGGCUGUACCAGAGACCUUUGCAUCUAGCUACUGAUGGUUUUAAAACUCAGGAUGUUGCCAUAAUGAUCAGAUUUUUACUUGCAAAUUGUUAUUCUCUUGUUUCUACUUGAGAAUCUGAAGAAGUGAAAUGUAUCCUAAGCUUUUCAUACAAGAUUUCUCUCUUCCAAAGUAAAACUAAAAUUCUUCCAAGGUAUUCAAUAAGCAAACUAAAAUGAGAUCUGAAGCAAACAUCAAUUUUAGAGGGAACAGUUACUUUUUUUUU